UACGUUGGCGGUUCACACCAGUUCAGAAGUAAGGUAUCUUAAAUUGCACUCGACAAUGUUGUGAAUACUUUAAAAUGCUUGAAGCCAUACUUGAUGCCUUCCAUAACGUGUAAAGUAAGAAGUUAGCCUGUGUUAAAAAGUGGUGAUCCCUGCAGAUUACCAAGGCAUCCAGUCUCCCAGCAAGUGCCAAGAGGCAUUCAUUCAAUGCUCCGCUGACACCAAUUUGCCCAAAGAAUAUUUAUGUGGGAGACUCCUCAGAUUGUGGAGACCCCAGAUUGUGGAGGCUCCUGGGCAGCUGGUCUUUUUGUGGACUCCUAAAUCUGGCACUGAACAAAAUUCUCUCUCUCUCUCUCUCUCUCUCUCUCUCUCUCUCUCUCUCUCUCUCUCUCUCUCUCUCUCUCUCUCUCUCUCUCUCUCUCUCUCUCUCUCUCUCUCUCUCUCUCUCUCUCUCUCUCUCUCUCUCUCUCUCUCUCUCUCUCUCUCUCUCUCUCUCUCUCUCUCUCUCUCUCUCUCUCUCUCUCUCUCUCUCCUGAACUCUCAACCACUGGAUGGUAUAUCAGUUCACACAGCAAGAAGCCAAGGACCCACCGAGGCUGUCACUUGGAAGAGGUCAUUGUUGUUGCAUCCAGCAUCCCAGCCUGACUGCCUAGACAGGUCCCGCAGGUUGCUGAAUGGCAGAGGUGCAGGCUGCUCCACAGCAAGAUGUGAGACCAGUGUGGCAGAGUAUGAUGUGUACACAAUGAGGGACACACUGUAGCCAACCCAGUAGAUUACCCGUGCUGCAGUGCUGAUUGGGUCCUCACCUUGUUGUAGGAGAGCUGACAACAUGUACCAGCCAGCAGCAACUCCCAUGCUAACAGGCUUCUCCCCCGUGGGUAUGUAGCACCUCUGGAGUCGCUCGAUGAAGAAGAGGAUGCUGGCGAGGCCUGUCGUGUUAGCCGGGAUGCGCCGGUACAGAGCUGUGUCCGUUGGGGUUGUGUAGGCAAGCAUCUUCUUGGCAAGGUCCUCGUAGGUGGCCGCAAACAGUUUACGGCUGUGGGAUGAGAACUUGUCUUGUGAAUGUGACGUUGGGAGGAGGGAAGCACAGGGGAGGAGGAGGACGAGGAGGAAGAGAGUGAAGAGUCACAAGAGGAGGAGGAAGGUGGAAAGAAAGAGGAAGGAGAGGAGGAGGAGGAGGAGGAGGAGGAGGAAGAUGGAGAAGGAAAGGAGAAAGAUAAGAAGGAAGGCAAUGUAGAAUGGAGGCGUCCUUGGUUUAUGUUCAGUAAAGCCCCGUAUUCUUGUCAUGGCAAUGUAGAAUGGAGGCGUCCUUGGUUUAUGUUCAGUAAAGCCCUGUAUUCUUGUCAUGGCAAUGUAGAAUGGAGACGUCAUUGGUCACAUACUGUUCUAAUGUAAUCUAAUGUAAUCUAAUGGAAUCAUGAAGGUGUAAAAAUGCAGGAUAUGGACAUCAUCAGCUUUUGUCAUUAAGGGUGGUAAAGUGAAAGAUUUGUUAAUCACUUUGGUCUUUAGUUGAUGCUUCUGGUGAGGCUUUCCUGUUUAAACUUGGCAUAAUAUAUAUAAAAUGAUGUGGCAUGUUAAACAAGUUAACUUACUGCCUUCUUGUGUCUUUCACAGAUAGAAAUCAAAAACAUCACAAGACAGAAUAGUGAGCUGCAUGCACUUAUCACAGAGUAUAAAGUCACUCCCUCAGAGGAAAAAGACAAGGAUGGCAUGUCUUCAUGUGUGUGUGUGUGUGUGUGUGUGUGUGUGUGUGUGUGUGUGUGUGCACUUUGGAAAGCCUCCCUCCAAGGAGAAUGUCAGUUUGAUAUACAAAUAUAUAUUCAUGUGGAUGGUAGCUCACAUUUAGCUUCUAUUUGUAUAUCAAACUGACAUUCUCCUUGGAGGGAGGCUUUCCAAAGUGCACACACACACACACACACACACACACACACACACACACACACACACACACACACACACACACACACACACACACACACACACACACACACACACACAUCUCUGCAUCAGGACCCUCAACAGCCAGACUGAUAAACAAUUACUUCACCCAAGAUGAUCAGCUGAUAGGAUUAGCUGUGGAUGAGCCUCCUGUGGUGACUAGGAGUACAAAAGCCAUGCAGCUAAUUUUGGGAGCUGCCAGUCAUCAUGGUCCUGGUGUCUGAGGUGCUGCUUUUGCAUUUUCCCAGUCAUGGGAUGACCUUGCCAGCCUCCAUCAUGAAUGAGAGGAAAUGAAGCAAAACCACUCUGCAGGAUUUGAUAUCAAAGCUGGUGCAGGAAAAGGAAGCAGAUCAUGACCUUCAGCAGCUCGAGAAGAUAAGCAGCGUCCUUAUAUAUAUGUUAUAUAAAUAUGUUCCUUUCACUAUAAUAUAUUAUAUGUAUUAAAAAACUGCAUGGAAUACUACUGUAUUCCAUGCACUUUGUAUUCCAUGUAUUCCAGCCACUCAGUCUCCUACUGAGUGGCUUGGGGUUUUCCAAAAGUGAGGGUUGGUGUUCUAUACCAUACCAUGUGCCCUGUUUGUAUUCCUUCUCUAUCCUCUGUAUUAUAUUCUAUGUAAAGAUGGUGCUGGGGUGGGAUCUACUUCUUAUUCCCUAAAAGUGAUGAGGAGUGACACUGGGCAGCAUUAAUUUGCUCCUUAGAGAUGGCUGGGUUCCUGUGGAUGAGUGGGCCAUGCUGUGCUUUGUCAAGGAUGGUGUUUGGUAUUGUGAUGACUCUUGCCACAAUCAAGUGUCUCCAACAGAGUAGUGGAGUACCUAUGUAUGGUGUUGACCCAAGCUGUCCAGGUCUCAUCCAAUGCCUUAAUAUGAUUUAGAUGAUCAAAAUGGUUUAACUCACCAUUUAAUCAGCUGACUGAUUUGAAUGGAGAAGUAUGUAAUGUGUUGUAGCCUAACCAUCCCUGCCAGCAUGGUCAGACUCUUGGUAGUAACCUGAAAUGCUCCUAGGUAGUGAGUAUCAUUGCACAUAAUGAUCUUUACUUUGUCAGUAAUUCAAUGAUAUUGAAUAUUACUCUACUGGAUUUUGCUCAGCACUGCUUGGUAACUUUUGGCCAUAAUCCCAGGUCUGGAAUGAUAUGAAGCCAUGUUUUUACAUUCCAUAUGAGACAGGCAAGCACUAUGCUUUGCCUGACUGAUACCUGUACUUUGCAUUUAUGACCCCAGGUAGUUCAUCACUCUCUCUCUCUCUCUCUCUCUCUCUCUCUCUCUCUCUCUCUCUCUCUCUCUCAUCUCUCUCUCUCUCUCUCUCUCUCUCUCUCUCUCUCUCUCUCUCUCUCUCUCUCUCUCUCUCUCUCUCUCUCUCUCUCUCUCUCUCUCUCUCUCUCUCUCUCUCUCUGUUUGGAAUUAUACUGUAUAUUAGGAAAUAUCAUUAAAGAGUGUGUGUGUAAAAAGUGUUUGCAUUAUUGUGCAUUUGAUGUUGGUUUCAUGAUUUAUAAAGAUUGCUAUUUUUAAUAAAGUUAUUGAAAUUGUUA